AUUGAACGCUGGCGGCAUGCCUUACACAUGCAAGUCGAACGGUAACAGGUCUUCGGAUGUUGACGAGUGGCGAACGGGUGAGUAAUACAUCGGAACGUGCCCAGACGUGGGGGAUAACGAGGCGAAAGCUUUGCUAAUACCGCAUACGAUCUAAGGAUGAAAGCAGGGGACCGCAAGGCCUUGUGCGUUUGGAGCGGCCGAUGGCAGAUUAGGUAGUUGGUGGGAUAAAAGCUUACCAAGCCGACGAUCUGUAGCUGGUCUGAGAGGACGACCAGCCACACUGGGACUGAGACACGGCCCAGACUCCUACGGGAGGCAGCAGUGGGGAAUUUUGGACAAUGGGCGAAAGCCUGAUCCAGCAAUGCCGCGUGCAGGAUGAAGGCCUUCGGGUUGUAAACUGCUUCUGUACGGAACGAAAAGGCUCUGGCUAAUACCUGGGGCACAUGACGGUACCGUAAGAAUAAGCACCGGCUAACUACGUG
rnacentral:rRNA from 1 species